GACGAACGCUGGCGGCGUGCUUAACACAUGCAAGUCGAACGAAGAGCGAUGGAAGCUUGCUUCUAUCAAUCUUAGUGGCGACCGGGUGAGUAACGCGUAAUCAACCUGCCCUUCAGAGGGGGACAACAGUUGGAAACGACUGCUAAUACCGCAUACGAUCCGACCUCGGCAUCGAGGAUGGAUGAAAGGUGGCCUCUAUUUAUAAGCUAUCACUGAAGGAGGGGAUUGCGUCUGAUUAGCUAGUUGGAGGGGUAACGGCCCACCAAGGCAAUGAUCAGUAGCCGGUCUGAGAGGAUGAACGGCCACAUUGGGACUGAGACACGGCCCAGACUCCUACGGGAGGCAGCAGUGGGGAAUCUUCCGCAAUGGACGAAAGUCUGACGGAGCAACGCCGCGUGAGUGAUGACGGUCUUCGGGUUGUAAAGCUCUGUUAAUCGGGACGAAAGGUCUUCUUGCGAAUAGGUAGAAGAAUUGACGGUACCGGAAUAGAAAGCCACGGCUAACUACGUG
rnacentral:rRNA from 1 species